AUGUGGGAUUCUAAGUUAAGAUUUACAAGUUAAUAAACUUAAGGGGGGAAACAUGGUAAAUGCCAAACUAUUAGGUUAAUAGUGAGAAAAUCACACAACCCAUUUCUGGGCGUGUGUGUGUGUGUACGAGCAGAGCAGAAGAAAGGAAGGGGGAGCCCUUCUCAAACCCUAAGCAACGAAUUGGAAGGAUUCUGGCCGAAAUCGAACCUGCAUGAACCUUAAUAGUGAUAAUCUAAGCAAGAUGUAACCAAGGAACGUGUCAAGGAGAGCUCAAGCAUAGGAGGAUAACGGGUCAAGAUAAGGCAAGGUGACAAAUACACUUAUUGGAGUACUCAAGGUAAGUGAUUUCCGUAGUCACUUCUUAGUUUGUUUAAGUAAUACAACGCUUUAUUUAAUUAGACAUGAUGUUUGAUGUCAAUUAUGCGUUGAAGUCUUUCAUUGUGCAUAAUGGGAAUAAAGUUGAUUAAGACGCCCUUGAUGGGUAUGUUGGGCGAACAAUCUUAAAGUAGACUAUAAGGAAGCUAUUCGAUUAGUGUAAUGGUUAUGGUCUAGUGUGAAAAUGUGGAGUAUGGUUUUGUAUGUCUUAAACCAUUUAAUGCGUAAAUAACCAUAACGGGUCGAAAAUAAGCAUUUGAGCGAUAAUGGGUUAAGAGGAUGCAAGACAUCCGAGAAUUUAAUCUUUUAUGAUAGAUGUCAACAAAAUUAUUAAGUUCAUAUAAGAUUGAGGUCAAAUAAUCAGAUUAUGUUGAUGUACGCUCGAACGGGUCAAAUAGUUAGAAAAUGAUUAUAAGUCGAAUGCAUGUAAGUUAAGAAUUUCCUUAAUCCGGAUGUAGGAUUUUAAGUUCAUAUGAAAGAAUGUGAAUGUACAAGCAUGUAGGAAGAAACCGGAGGUUAAACGGGUAAACGGUUUAAAAGUUAUGCGAGUUUUAGUGCGUUCGAACGACGAAAGCAGCACAGCAGAAAAAUGGCAAAAGCAGAGGCCGUCGUCGACGCCCCUAUGGGCCGUCGCCGACGCCUCGUGCUUUUUCAGUUUGCUCUGACGUCCUAUUUUCCUGUCUACGGGGUUUUUUAAGCUACGGGAAAAACUAAAAGCCGUCGCUGACGGCCUCCCAAUGUUUAGAAUGCUGAAAUUUGUUAACUAAGUUGUUUAAUGUAUCGUAAGCUUCAGUAUAUCAACCGUGGUCUAUGGUAAGCCUUCUAAACCAAAUUUUGGGUGUUCUCUUGAUGUUUUUGGAUUCUAAACCCAAGAAUAAGCACCAUAUAAAUAAUGUACGAACACGAUAAGUGUAUACGAACAAGUUAAACAAGAAUUGGAUGUAAGUAAAAUAUGCGUAGACACGAAUAUGUAAGCACGCAAGUACGUAUGCAGGUAUGCUUGGUUUCAAUAUGUUUGGGUAAGGAUCUCACUAACAAUGUGCUUGAGAUUGGUAGGUAAUGCAGGAAUGAGAACGACGGAUUCUCGUGGAAUGGAAGCUGAACUCGGAACGAGAGAAUCCGAGAGGAUAGUUGGAUAAAUCAAAGUUUACUUUGUCGAAUGUUAUACUAUUUAAUUAUAUGUGAAUUUGGUUGUACGAUGAUGUCAAUGACUAAUGGUUAAGUUGUAUGCGAUGCCCACAGGUACUACUCGGACUCCUUCUACCUUUGAGGAUGAUAAGCGGGCGUGGAUCGAGUCGAAGAGCAAGGAUUGUACGGAAAGAACGGUCACAUAGUUUAAAAUACGUAAUGCUUUGAAACGUUAAUUUAAUGUAAAUAUUGUAAACCUCUUCCAGUAAGCGCUUAACAUUUUCGUAUUUGAGCUUUUAUGUAAGUAAUGUGUCUAAUAAAGAAAGAAAUUUUAAGACU